UAACCCUAUGAACCGGGACAGGACACUGGC
rnacentral:piRNA from 1 species